rnacentral:rRNA from 1 species
UAGGGAAUCUUCGGCAAUGGACGAAAGUCUGACCGAGCAACGCCGCGUGAGUGAAUAAGGUUUUCGGAUCGUAAAACUCUGUUGUUAGAGAAGAACAAGGACGUUAGUAACUGAACGUCCCCUGACGGUAUCUAACCAGAAAGCCACGGCUAACUACGUGCCAGCAGCCGCGGUAAUACGUAGGUGGCAAGCGUUGUCCGGAUUUAUUGGGCGUAAAGCGAGCGCAGGCGGUUUCUUAAGUCUGAUGUGAAAGCCACCGGCUCAACCGGGGAGGGUCAUUGGAAACUGGGAGACUUGAGUGCAGAAGAGGAGAGUGGAAUUGCAUGUGUAGCGGUGAAAAGCGUAGAUAUAUGUAGGAACACCAGUGGCGAAGGCGGCUAUCUGGUCAGUAACUGACGCUGAGGAUCGAAAGCGUGGGGAGCAAACAGG